UCUCUGUAUAACCUUCCAUGUCAAGUCUUCGGUUACAAGUAACAAAGUCCUCAACCUAUUCAUUCCUUUGAUAUUUCAGUGUCAUUCAACACUACUACUACUACUACUACUACUACUUCCAUUCCGUCUCAUCUCAUCUUUAUUUUCUCAUCUUCAUCCAUCACUUUGAUCCCAAAUCUUUCUUCUAUUUUGUUUUUGGUCUUGAGAAUUUGUUCUUGAUCAUGGAUGCUGAUGAGGUAGUCAUGCUCAAGCAAGAUGGUUCAAAUUAUCCCAACUGGUCACACUUUAUGAGCCAGCACAUGAUCCAAACACGCAGACAACUUUGGGACUAUGUUUGCGGCAUUGUAACAGAGCCCAAUCCAGGCCAUGAAAACUUCACAAGUCUCUCUCAACAAUGGAAAACUAAGAAUGCAGAGAUCUUGAACAUGAUCUGUACAUAUGUACUCAAUCCUUCAGUUUCAAUUCAAUUACGGAGCUUCAAAUCAGGCAAAGAGGCUUGGGACUACUUGGCUGAGCUAUAUGGUCACUCCAAUUUUGCCAAAAAGUAUCAAUUGGAGACUCAGAUUAGAGCAACCAAACAAGGAGAUAGAACAAUCAAGGAGUUACAUGGUGUGAUGGUUGGUUUGUGGAAUCAACAAGCCAAGCUUGAGGAUAGAGAUUUGAGUUUGCUAAGCAGUUACAAAAAGAAUCAAGAUGAACAACGUCUUGUGCAGUUUCUUAUUGCUUUGAGAGAUGAAUUUGAGCCGAUUAGAAAGUCUAUACUGUGUCGAUUAUUUCUACCGAGUGUUGAGAAAGCUGUUAGGGAGUUGGAAGAAGAGGAGAUGAGGCUUAAGCCUUCAAUUGUCUCUGAAUUUUCCAAUCUCUCCAUCAAAACAGAAGACAGUUUUCAGAUAGGAAAAGUCAAGUAUGAUUAUAGUGGUGGAUUUGAUCAGUCACACAAAUUCAACAAGCCAUCUUCAUCUCGGGAUAGGUCUGCUAUGUAUUCUUCUUCUUCAGUGACAGAAACUAAUGAUUGGCCUUCUUUCCUGGGAGGUUUGGCCAAAGUUGCCAUUGCAUCAUUUGCUGCAGUACAGGCUUCUCGGACACUGUAUAAUUACUAUACUGAACCUGGAACGGAAUUGAAGAUUUUGAGUUAUAAUGUUUGUUUCCGAGAAGACUUGGAAAUUCAUAAGAGGAUGAAAGCUGUGGGUGACCUUAUUCAGAUGCAUUCCCCUGAUCUGAUAUGCUUCCAGGAGGUUACUUUCAAAAUCUAUGACAUUUUUCAACAAUCCAGCUGGUGGAAAUUGUACCGUUGCUCAGUUUCAAGUGUGAUGGCAUAUACAAAACCAUCCUUCUGCAUGCAGUUAAGUAAACUACCAGUAAAUUCAUACAGCCGUAAACCAUUCAGUAAUUCCACAAUGGAUAGAGAACUUUGCGUUGCUGAGGUUGAAGUUCAGGCAGACAUGCCAUUGGUUGUUGCCACUAGCCAUCUUAAAGGUCCUGGUCCUGGCCCUCGCAAUUGGGAUCAGUCGUUCAGCAAGGAACGUGUUGAUCAGGCAAAGGAAGCGCUGACCUUUCUUAAAAAAAAUGUAAACGUGAUUUUUUGUGGUGACAUGAAUUGGGAUGACGAUUUGGAUGGUCAAUUUCCUUUGCUCAAUGGAUGGGUUGAUGCCUGGGUGCAGUUAAAGCCAAGAGAAAAUGGAUGGACAUAUGAUACCAAAUCCAACAAGAUGCUUAAUGAUGAUUGGCCUGUGCAAAAGCGACUUGAUCGAUUUGUAUGCAAUUUGCGUGAUUUCAAGAUAAGAGGAAUAGACAUGAUUGGCAUGGAGGCAAUACCAGGUCUAUCAUAUUGGAAGAAAGGGAAAAACAAUGUGGACAAACGGCCCGUGUUUCCUAGUGAUCAUUAUGGGUUGCUAUUAACAAUCUGUGCCAAGUAAUGCUAGUUAAGUGGCCAUAUCUAAGCAGGCAAGCAGAGUGCUGAUUGUGUUUUUGUGCUCUUCAAUGUGCCAAGGCAACUAUAUUGUUACAUUGACAAACAAUCCUCUGAAUCUUGAGGUCCGUGUGAUUGCUGUCAACAUGUCAGAAAAGCAAUCUUCACUUCAAGUCAUAUGCCGCUGCUGCAACAAUGGAAACAUGUUAUGGGAUUUCAGUUCUAGUUAUAUCCUUAAGCGGGGAACGUGUAGGUCAGGCGAAGCAGGCUCUUAACCACCUUAAUGAUUCUACAACCUGAAUGACUUCAAAUUGAAGCAAAUUGAGAUGAUUGGAAAGGAGACAAUACAGGGGGCUGUCAUAUUGCAAGGUGAAGAAAGAAAGAAGAUUCAGAGUUUGGAGCUUCCUGUUUUGUCUAGUGAUAACUAUGGCCUACUCUUAGAGGUUCAAAGCCAGUAAAAACUAGUAGAAACCAGAGUAUGGUUUGGCAAUGUGUGGUAUAUAUAUGUGUUGCAUUAUUAAGUGGAAUAUGAUCUUAAUUAUGUUGUGGGUAUUGUAUAUAAUUAUAAUUAUGUUGUAACAUCCCAAACCACGUAACCAAUGUAACAAUGUUCAUCAUUGGACUUUGUGUCAUGUUGAGU